rnacentral:rRNA from 1 species
GACGAACGCUGGCGGCGUGCUUAACACAUGCAAGUCGAACGGAAGGGCCCUGCUUUUGUGGGGUGCUCGAGUGCCGAACGGGUGAGUAACACGUGAGUAACCUGCCCUUGACUUUGGGAUAACUUCACGAAACUGGGGCUAAUAUCGGAUAGGAUCUCCUGCUGCAUGGUGGGGGUUGGAAAGUUUCGGCGGUUGGGGAUGGACUCGCGGCUUAUCAGCUAGUUGGUGGGGUAGUGGCUUACCAAGGCUUUGACGGGUAGCCGGCCUGAGAGGGUGACCGGCCACAUUGGGACUGAGGGACGGACCAGACUGGUACGGGCGGCAGCAGUGGGGAAUAUUGCACAGUGGGCGGAAGCCUGAUGCAGCAACGCCGGGUGCGGGAUGACCGCCUUCGGGUUGUAAACCGCUUUCGCCUGUGACGAAGCGUGCGUGACGGUAAUGGGUAAAGAAGCACCGGCUAACUACGUG